rnacentral:rRNA from 1 species
UACGUAGGGUGCAAGCGUUAAUCGGAAUUACUGGGCGUAAAGCGUGCGCAGGCGGUUUUGGAAGUCUGUCGUGAAAGCCCCGGGCUCAACCUGGGAAUUGCGAUGGAGACUGCAAGGCUUGAAUCUGGCAGAGGGGGGUAGAAUUCCACGUGUAGCAGUGAAAUGCGUAGAGAUGUGGAGGAACACCGAUGGCGAAGGCAGCCCCCUGGGCUGAGAUUGACGCUCAGGCACGAAAGCGUGGGGAGCAAACAGG